UUGAACGCUGGCGGAAUGCUUUACACCUGCAAGUCGAACGGCAGCACGGGGGCAGCCCUGGUGGCGAGUGGCGAACGGGUGAGUAAUACAUCGGAACGUGCCCGGUCGUGGGGGAUAACGUAGCGAAAGUUACGCUAAUACCGCAUACGAUCUGAGGAUGAAAGCGGGGGACCUUCGGGCCUCGCGCGAUCGGAGCGGCCGAUGUCAGAUUAGGUAGUUGGUGGGGUAAAGGCCUACCAAGCCGACGAUCUGUAGCUGGUCUGAGAGGACGACCAGCCACACUGGGACUGAGACACGGCCCAGACUCCUACGGGAGGCAGCAGUGGGGAAUUUUGGACAAUGGGCGCAAGCCUGAUCCAGCCAUUCCGCGUGCAGGACGAAGGCCUUCGGGUUGUAAACUGCUUUUGUACGGAACGAAAAGGCUCUGGCUAAUACCUGGGGCUCAUGACGGUACCGUAAGAAUAAGCACCGGCUAACUACGUG
rnacentral:rRNA from 1 species